ACGGGCGUAGCUCAGGGGUAGAGCGCGACGCUUACACCGUCGUGGUCGGGGGUUCGAAUCCCUCCGCCCGUACCA
rnacentral:tRNA from 1 species